GUGGGGAAUAUUGGGCAAUGGGGGCAACCCUGACCCAGCAACGCCGCGUGAGGGAAGAAGGUUUUCGGAUUGUAAACCUCUGUCCUAUGGGAAGAAGGAAGUGACGGUACCAUAGGAGGAAGCCCCGGCUAACUACGUGCCAGCAGCCGCGGGAAUACGUAGGUGGCAAGCGUUGUCCGGAAUCAUUGGGCGUACAGCGCGCGCAGGUGGGAUCUUAAGUCCAUUUUUAAAGUUCGGAGCUCAACUCCGUGAUGGGAUGGAAACUGGGAGUCUUGAGGACCGGAAAGGAAAGCGGAAUUCCACGUGUAGCGGUGAAAUGCGUAGAUAUGGGGAGGAACACCAGUGGCGAAGGCGGCUUUCUGGACGGUGUCUGACACUGAGGCGCGAAAGCCAGGGGAGCGAACGGGAUUAGAUACCCGGGUAGUCC
rnacentral:rRNA from 1 species